GAAUUCCUAUAAAAGGCUGAGAGCAUGUUCAGAUCAGAAUGAUCUGGACUAGUGCAGUAGACUCUGAAGCAGGAGAAUUGAAAGAAGCAAAGGGAAAAGCCUCUGGGUUCUGAAGCCCAAGAUCCACUUUUGGACAGGAAUUGGAGAAGACAAUGGUUAUUUCUGUAUUGGGACGACCUAAAGAAUUUCACCAGAUGAAAGGAAGACCAAAGGGUAGUAAAACAAAGAGUGGCCAUAUGACACAAAUGAGCAACCCAAGAAUAAGACAACAAAGGACGGCAAGGCCUUUCCAUUUCAAAGGUCAUCGCAGUGGGAGCCAAAAGCCAACCCCAGAAGAAGAAAAUGUGUCCGAGAUCAUUUUGGUGUGUGCAAGAUAACUGGG